AUGCGUUGUUGGGUAGGGGAGCGUUCUGUAAGCCUGCGAAGGUGUGCUGUGAGGCAUGCUGGAGGUAUCAGAAGUGCGAAUGCUGACAUAAGUAACGAUAAAGCGGGUGAAAAGCCCGCUCGCCGGAAGACCAAGGGUUCCUGUCCAACGUUAAUCGGGGCAGGGUGAGUCGACCCCUAAGGCGAGGCCGAAAGGCGUAGUCGAUGGGAAACAGGUUAAUAUUCCUGUACUUGGUGUUACUGCGAAGGGGGGACGGAGAAGGCUAUGUUGGCCGGGCGACGGUUGUCCCGGUUUAAGCGUGUAGGCUGGUUUUCCAGGCAAAUCCGGAAAAUCAAGGCUGAGGCGUGAUGACGAGGCACUACGGUGCUGAAGCAACAAAUGCCCUGCUUCCAGGAAAAGCCUCUAAGCAUCAGGUAACAUCAAAUCGUACCCCAAACCGACACAGGUGGUCAGGUAGAGAAUACCAAGGCGCUUGAGAGAACUCGGGUGAAGGAACUAGGCAAAAUGGUGCCGUAACUUCGGGAGAAGGCACGCUGAUAUGUAGGUGAAG
rnacentral:rRNA from 1 species